rnacentral:rRNA from 1 species
UACGUAGGGUGCAAGCAUUGUCCGGAAUUAUUGGGCGUAAAGAGCUCGUAGGCGGUUUGUCGCGUCGGCUGUGAAAACCUGGGGCUCAACCCCGGGCCUGCAGCCGAUACGGGCAAACUAGAAUUCGGUAGGGGAGACUGGAAUUCCUGGUGUAGCGGUGAAAUGCGCAGAUAUCAGGAGGAACACCGGUGGCGAAGGCGGGUCUCUGGGCCGAUAUUGACGCUGAGGAGCGAAAGCGUGGGGAGCAAACAGG